CCUACGGGAGGCUGCAGUGGGGAAUAUUGGGCAAUGGAGGCAACUCUGAUCCAGCAACGCCGCGUGAAUGAUGAAGGUCUUCGGAUUGUAAAGUUCUGUGAUGGGGGAUGAACACAAUGACGGUACCCCAAUAGCAAGCCACGGCUAACUACGAGCCAGCAGCCGCGGUAAUACGUAGGCGGCAAGCGUUAUCCGGAAUGACUGGGCGUAAAGGGUGCGUAGGUGGUUUAGUAAGUUGGCGGUGUAAUUCCGGGGCUCAACCGCGGCGCUAUCGCAAAAACUAUUAGACUAGAGUGCAGGGGGGGUAAGCGGAAUUCCUAGUGUAGCGGUGGAAUGCGUAGAUAUUAGGAGGAACAGCAGGGGCGAAGGCGACUUACUGGACUGUAACUGACGCUGAGGCACGAAAGCGUGGGGAGCAAACAGGAUUAGAUACCCUUGUAGUC
rnacentral:rRNA from 1 species